rnacentral:rRNA from 1 species
AGCGUACACGGUGGAUGCCCUGGCAGUCAGAGGCGAUGAAGGACGUGCUAAUCUGCGAUAAGCGUCGGUGAGGUGAUAUGAACCGUUAUAACCGGCGAUUUCCGAAUGGGGAAACCCAGUGUGUUUCGACACACUAUCAUUAACUGAAUCCAUAGGUUAAUGAGGCGAACCGGGGGAACUGAAACAUCUAAGUACCCCGAGGAAAAGAAAUCAACCGAGAUUCCCCCAGUAGCGGCGAGCGAACGGGGAGGAGCCCAGAGCCUGAAUCAGUGUGUGUGUUAGUGGAAGCGUCUGGAAAGGCGCGCGAUACAGGGUGACAGCCCCGUACACAAAAAUGCACAUACUGUGAGCUCGAUGAGUAGGGCGGGACACGUGGUAUCCUGUCUGAAUAUGGGGGGACCAUCCUCCAAGGCUAAAUACUCCUGACUGACCGAUAGUGAACCAGUACCGUGAGGGAAAGGCGAAAAGAACCCCGGCGAGGGGAGUGAAAAAGAACCUGAAACCGUGUACGUACAAGCAGUGGGAGCCUCUUAAUGGGGUGACUGCGUACCUUUUGUAUAAUGGGUCAGCGACUUAUAUUCUGUAGCAAGGUUAACCGAAUAGGGGAGCCGAAGGGAAACCGAGUCUUAACUGGGCGUUAAGUUGCAGGGUAUAGACCCGAAACCCGGUGAUCUAGCCAUGGGCAGGUUGAAGGUUGGGUAACACUAACUGGAGGACCGAACCGACUAAUGUUGAAAAAUUAGCGGAUGACUUGUGGCUGGGGGUGAAAGGCCAAUCAAACCGGGAGAUAGCUGGUUCUCCCCGAAAGCUAUUUAGGUAGCGCCUCGUGAAUUCAUCUCCGGGGGUAGAGCACUGUUUCGGCAAGGGGGUCAUCCCGACUUACCAACCCGAUGCAAACUGCGAAUACCGGAGAAUGUUAUCACGGGAGACACACGGCGGGUGCUAACGUCCGUCGUGAAGAGGGAAACAACCCAGACCGCCAGCUAAGGUCCCAAAGUCAUGGUUAAGUGGGAAACGAUGUGGGAAGGCCCAGACAGCCAGGAUGUUGGCUUAGAAGCAGCCAUCAUUUAAAGAAAGCGUAAUAGCUCACUGGUCGAGUCGGCCUGCGCGGAAGAUGUAACGGGGCUAAACCAUGCACCGAAGCUGCGGCAGCGACACUAUGUGUUGUUGGGUAGGGGAGCGUUCUGUAAGCCUGUGAAGGUGGCCUGUGAGGGUUGCUGGAGGUAUCAGAAGUGCGAAUGCUGACAUAAGUAACGAUAAAGCGGGUGAAAAGCCCGCUCGCCGGAAGACCAAGGGUUCCUGUCCAACGUUAAUCGGGGCAGGGUGAGUCGACCCCUAAGGCGAGGCCGAAAGGCGUAGUCGAUGGGAAACAGGUUAAUAUUCCUGUACUUGGUGUUACUGCGAAGGGGGGACGGAGAAGGCUAUGUUGGCCGGGCGACGGUUGUCCCGGUUUAAGCGUGUAGGCUGGUUUUCCAGGCAAAUCCGGAGAAUCAAGGCUGAGGCGUGAUGACGAGGCACUACGGUGCUGAAGCAACAAAUGCCCUGCUUCCAGGAAAAGCCUCUAAGCAUCAGGUAACAUCAAAUCGUACCCCAAACCGACACAGGUGGUCAGGUAGAGAAUACCAAGGCGCUUGAGAGAACUCGGGUGAAGGAACUAGGCAAAAUGGUGCCGUAACUUCGGGAGAAGGCACGCUGAUAUGUAGGUGAAGCGACUUGCUCGUGGAGCUGAAAUCAGUCGAAGAUACCAGCUGGCUGCAACUGUUUAUUAAAAACACAGCACUGUGCAAACACGAAAGUGGACGUAUACGGUGUGACGCCUGCCCGGUGCCGGAAGGUUAAUUGAUGGGGUUAGCGGCAACGCGAAGCUCUUGAUCGAAGCCCCGGUAAACGGCGGCCGUAACUAUAACGGUCCUAAGGUAGCGAAAUUCCUUGUCGGGUAAGUUCCGACCUGCACGAAUGGCGUAAUGAUGGCCAGGCUGUCUCCACCCGAGACUCAGUGAAAUUGAACUCGCUGUGAAGAUGCAGUGUACCCGCGGCAAGACGGAAAGACCCCGUGAACCUUUACUAUAGCUUGACACUGAACAUUGAGCCUUGAUGUGUAGGAUAGGUGGGAGGCUUUGAAGUGUGGACGCCAGUCUGCAUGGAGCCGGCCUUGAAAUACCACCCUUUAAUGUUUGAUGUUCUAACGUGGGCCCCUAAUCGGGGUUGCGGACAGUGUCUGGUGGGUAGUUUGACUGGGGCGGUCUCCUCCUAAAGAGUAACGGAGGAGCACGAAGGUUGGCUAAUCCUGGUCGGACAUCAGGAGGUUAGUGCAAUGGCAUAAGCCAGCUUGACUGCGAGCGUGACGGCGCGAGCAGGUGCGAAAGCAGGUCAUAGUGAUCCGGUGGUUCUGAAUGGAAGGGCCAUCGCUCAACGGAUAAAAGGUACUCCGGGGAUAACAGGCUGAUACCGCCCAAGAGUUCAUAUCGACGGCGGUGUUUGGCACCUCGAUGUCGGCUCAUCACAUCCUGGGGCUGAAGUAGGUCCCAAGGGUAUGGCUGUUCGCCAUUUAAAGUGGUACGCGAGCUGGGUUUAGAACGUCGUGAGACAGUUCGGUCCCUAUCUGCCGUGGGCGCUGGAGAACUGAGGGGGGCUGCUCCUAGUACGAGAGGACCGGAGUGGACGCAUCACUGGUGUUCGGGUUGUCAUGCCAAUGGCACUGCCCGGUAGCUAAAUGCGGAAGAGAUAAGUGCUGAAAGCAUCUAAGCACGAAACUUGCCCCGAGAUGAGUUCU